rnacentral:rRNA from 1 species
CAGCAGCCGCGGUAAUACGUAGGUGGCAAGCGUUGUCCGGAUUUAUUGGGCGUAAAGCGAGCGCAGGCGGUUUCUUAAGUCUGAUGUGAAAGCCCCCGGCUCAACCGGGGAGGGUCAUUGGAAACUGGGAGACUUGAGUGCAGAAGAGGAGAGUGGAAUUCCAUGUGUAGCGGUGAAAUGCGUAGAUAUAUGGAGGAACACCAGUGGCGAAGGCGGCUCUCUGGUCUGUAACUGACGCUGAGGCUCGAAAGCGUGGGGAGCGAACAGGAUUAGAUACCCCAGUAGUCCCUGUCUCUUAUAC